AAAUGCGAUAAGUAAUGUGAAUUGCAGAAUUCAGUGAAUCAUCGAAUCUUUGAACGCACCUUGCGCUCCUUGGUAUUCCUUGGAGCAUGCCUGUUUGAGUAUCAUUUGUACCCUCAAGCUCUGCUUGGUGUUGGGUGUUUGUCCCGUCUCCGCGCGUGGACUCGCCCCAAAGUGAUUGGCAGCCGGCGUACUGGUCCCGGAGCGCAGCACAUGUCGCGCAAACGAGUGCCUUGGUACGGCGGCGUCCAUAAGCCCCUCUCUCACGCUCUUGACCUCGGAUCAGGUAGGGAUACCCGCUGAACUUAAGC
rnacentral:misc_RNA from 1 species